GACGGAGGGUGCAAACGUUGCUCGGAAUCACUGGGCAUAAAGCGCACGUAGGCGGUCCCCUAAGUCGGGUGUGAAAGCCCUCGGCUCAACCGAGGAAUUGCCUUCGAUACUGGGGGGCUCGAGGAUGGUUGGGGUGAGGGGAACUCCAGGUGGAGCGGUGAAAUGCGUAGAUAUCUGGAGGAACACCGGUGGCGAAAGCGACUCACUGGACCAUUACUGACGCUGAGGUGCGAAAGCUAGGGGAGCAAACGGG
rnacentral:rRNA from 1 species